rnacentral:rRNA from 1 species
AACCAGCACCCUCGAGUGGUCAGGAGGUUUAUUGGGCCUAAAGCAUCCGUAGCCGGUUGUUUAAGUUUUCGGUUAAAUCCAUGCGCUUAACGUAUGGGCUGCCGAAAAUACUGGACAGCUAGGGAGUGGGAGAGGUACACGGUACUCAAUAGGAAGGGGUAAAAUCCUUUGAUCUGUUGAUGACCACCUGUGGCGAAGGCGGUGUACCAGAACACGUUCGACGGUGAGGGAUGAAAGCUGGGGGAGCAAACCGGAUUAGAACGUACCC